UUUUUUUUUUUUUUUUUUUUUCUUUUAUUCCUAUCGAGGACUAGCAAGACUGGGCAAAUAGAAGGAGUUCAAUAAAUACUUCUUGUCUAAGUGACUGACAAGUGAAUUUUUACACAUCAGCUUUCUUCAAACAUGUCAGAGGUUCUAUAUUUACUUGCAACUGCCAGGUACAGCACAUCUUAUUUCCUUAAUGUUAGCACUGAUGGCAGCUCCACAGCUCCAUCACUGUUUUACUAUUCUAAACCUAAAAAAAAUCUUUCCUUCUCCUCAAGGUUACCAUGUUAUCUGCUGAUCUAAUCACAAUGAUAGCUACAUUAGAAAUAUGCCAAGUGCCUGGCAUCUGUCAGUAACAACUGAAUUCUUUGUAUUUUUAAACUUUUGCUUAAAGCAUGUAACUCAGAUGAAAAAAGACAUGUGUAAAGAAUAAAUUAUAGGAAUUCCCUGGUGGGCCUAGCAGUUAAGGCUCUGGCAUUGUGACAGCUCAGGUCAUUGCUGUGGCACAGGUUUGAUCCCUGACUUGGGAACUUCCACAUUAUGCAGGUGCAGCAAAAAGAAAAAAAAAUUAUAUAUAUGUAUACAUAUACAUAAUCAGAAAUAAAGGAUAAAAACAGCUCUUUGUACACAUAAACACAUGGUCUCUAAACAGUUAAAAGUUCGAAUAAACUCAUAUAAUAUUUACUUUGCAUCUUGGAUCCUAGAAUCUGAAAUAACUUUACAAUAUUCAAUGAGGCCUAUUUUGGUUAUUAAAUCAGUUAGAGGGCAGUUCAGAGUUACUGAAUGAAUGAGUGAAGAAAAUUUACCAAUAUCACUAAACUCUUAUGUAUUCUAUAUUAUUGCUUUCUACAUAUUUUAUGUCAAAACACUCUACACCUUUGUUGUAACUUCCACAACAACAAAAAGUGGGAUAGAAAGAUGAGGAAAAAAAUUUUCAUCUAACCCUAGUCACCUAGGAUAGCAUUUAAUUUGGCAAGUGAAGUGCUUCCCAGAAGCAGUAUUAUAAAAAAAAUCUUGUUUUCAAGAUCAUAAAAAUGACCCAGUAUAUUACAAUCCCAGCUUUUUUAAAAAAGUGAAUUAAACAAUGCCAAUUUGUAUUUAUAUUAAAAUACAAAAUUUGUUAAAUAAUAACUGCUAUCAUGACAUUAAGUAAUAACUGCUAUCAUGACAUACGUUACUAUGUCUGACAAUGGUGUCUUGAACAUGAGAUAGUAGUUUUUGCCAAGAACCAGUGUGUGCAUUUUUGUUAUUUGAUUUCUUAUAUACAAAUAUUUUUAAUUUUUAAAAUUGGUUAUAAAAAAGAGUAAGUAAUAACAUGCAACAGUUUCUUGGUUCUCUAAAGCACUGCUCAUUGUGGGUUAAAGGAUCUGGAAUAGGUCACAGCUGUGGCUUGGAUUCAGUCCCUGGUCUGGGAACUUCCAUGUGCAAUAAGUGAGGCCAUAAAAAAAAAAUUAAAUUAAAAAAAAAAGCACUGCUCCGUUAAUAUCCUCUGGAAAGUCUAUAUUCAUAUUAGAAUUGUUGAAAUUAUUCUCAAGAUAAUUAGCUAUGAUAUUUAUUUCAUCUGCAAUUAAUACUAACAGGAUUUUUUGGUACUCUCCUCUGUACACCACAAUCUACAAUCCUUAUAAUGCUUUAAAAAUAUGCCUACGAAAUCUCUGAUAGUCUUCGAGAGCUUAUUUUCUUGUCUCUGGAGCAUUCAGUGACUUGUUUCCAAUGUACAGAUGAAGUAGAAGCAAAGGUAUGUGAUUUUUAUUUUUUAUUUAUUUUAUUUUAUUUUUGUCUUCUUUUUUUUUUGCCUUUUCUAGGGCCGCUCUCGAGGCACAUGGAGAUUCCCAGGCUAAGGGUCUAAUCGGAGCCAUAGCCACCAGCCUACGCCAGAGCCACAGUAACUCAGGAUCUGAGCCGCAUCUGCAACCUACACCACAGCUCACGGCAACACCAGAUCCACAACCCACUGAGCAAGGCCAGGGAUCGAACCGGCAACCUCAUGGUUCCUAGUCGGAUUCAUUAACCACUGCACCAUGACAGUAACUCCAGGUAUGUGAUUUUUUAGGGACUAGACUAGAAAGCACUGUGGCUCCCUCCUUGGAUCUCUUACUUUCUUACUCAGAGGAAGAUAGGUGGUACAUUGUGAGGAGAGCCCAUUUGGUGAGGUCUCCUGCCAACAACCAUCUUGGAAGUGGAUCUUCCAACCACAGUCAAGCCUUCAAAUGACUGAAAGCCCUGGCCCGCACAUCCUGACUUCGAUCACAUGAGAUCCCAAGCAGAACCACCCAGCUAAGUCACUCCUGAAUUUCUGACUCAUAAAAGGUAAGAUGAUAAAUAGUUUUGCUAAGUAUUGGAGUAAAUUUGGGGUCCUUUGUUAUAUGACAGAUAAUACAAUGAGUCCUAUCUCAUCAAGAAUGUGCAAACUACUCGAGAGUUCCCAUCAUGGUGCAGCGGAAAUGAAUCUGACUAGGAACAAUGAGGUUGCGGGUUCAAUCCCUGGCAUCUCUCAGUGGGUUAAGGAUCUGGUGUUACCGUUAGCUAUGGUGUAAGUCGAAAAUGCAGCUUGGCUCUGGCAUUGCCGUGGCUGUGGUGUAGGAUUAUCGUGAACAGAACUAUAAAUUUCAUAUUUCUCAAAUAUAAUUUUCUAAAAGGACCUCUUUCCCUUCAACAUACUCCUUUUCCCUCUACUCUGUGUCUCAUUCUCCAAAGAAGCCAUAGUUGUCAUUUGAUAGAAUAUUUAGGGGUCUUUCCCUUCUCAAAUAAUCUAACCAAGUCCUAAAUGAGAUAGUUUAAAAGAAAUCUUCAAACUACCCACUAAACAGGAGGAGAAAAGGAAUAUAAGUGGUUAGUAGCAGUUUUCUAGCGUAUACAUGCAUGUCUUGUGUAUACAUGCAUGCUUUUACAAAACUGCAACCAAUAUGAAAUUUUUUUUUUCAUUUUGGAAAAACCUUAAUAUAUCCACAUCAUUCAAAAUUCUUAAGAAAAGGAUUUCACUUGUAUUAGCUAAAAGUGAAUUUAAUUAUAACUUAAUGAGCACAGAUCAACAUAUAUGCCAAUGGAAAAUAUUUUAAUUUCAACCAGCCAGUAGUUUUCUAAAUUAGGCCUAAUUUUUUACAAUGAAUAUACAGCCAGCUCUUAAAUAUUCAAUAAAUCCAAUUUAUCCAUUCUUUUAGAAGAUAUUUCUUCUUCUCUUUAAUUUUUUUAUGUCUAGUGCUCAUUAGCAUUUUGGCUUUAGAUAUAUAUGGUAAGACAAAAAAGCUGAAAUAUAAGACUGUUAAUUAAUUUGUUGUUGUCUUUAGUUCUUUUAGGGCCACACCUGUGGUAUAUGGAGGUUCC
rnacentral:lncRNA from 9 species